ACAAGAUAAUUCUUCGUACCUCACUAAUAGCUAUUACUGGCUAUCCCCUGUAGUAGAAAAGAAAGAAAAGAAAAAGGUAGUAACUAAACGUUGUCGUUUUGUUUGACUUAUAGGCAGAUCUUAAUUUUUAGAAAAGAUAGAUUUUGAUGAAAAGAUAAAACUGAUGUUGAUUUUAUUCAUUUGGGAAAUUAUUUUCUCUUUUUAGUUAAAAUACCGAUAUUGUCCUUGAAUAUCCUCUGUAUUCGGAUUGCAAACGUGAUAAGUUGGAGUUGAAAGUACUUGGCUGCCCUUGUCUCUUAUUGAAAAAGAAUAUAUUUGUUAAUCAUAAAGUUUCUCAUCUUAAUUAAAUUGUACAUCUAAAGUUAAUAGAGUUUUUUUUUUUUGAAUCAUGAUUGCAAUCUUACUACUAGAAAUAUAAAAAAAUAAAAAGUUAAUAAAAACAUAAUGCAUAUAUAUAUAUAUAUAUAUAUAUAUAUAACAUUUUUAAAAAUCAACUAACAUGCAUAUUUUUUUUAUUUCUCAAUUAAUAUAAAUAUUAUAUAAUAUUUAUUCAUUUAAAAAAAUCUAUUAGCAAAUUAAAAAAUACACAAAUAAAAAACUAAUUUAAUAAUCAUAUAUUGAAUAAAAGAAUGACAGUGAGAUUUAAAUAUUAUUAAAAAAAUUAGAAUAUUAGACAUAGACAAUGGAAAGAUAAGUAUUGUUAUGAAUAAUUCUAACGGUGAUAGUUAUUUUAUAGUAAAAAAAUAGAGAUUUUUAAUAAUAUAAAUUGAGCACGUUGAAUUUAAGAUAAUAAUAACAAUAUGUAUAAUCUAUUAUAUAAGCUUUUAAUUUUGAUUUUCUUUUCAUAUUUUUCUAAUUUUUCUUGUAUUUCCUAAUUUAAGUGUUUCUUAGCGAUAUAAGUCCUCUUUUUCGUAAAAAAAGAAAAGAUUUCCAUCCUUAGAAUGUAAUUCAAACAUAAAUUAGAUAAUAUAACUACUAAUCAAAAUUAUUUUUAAUUAAUUAUUUAUUUAUAUAUUGCACAGUUAUUAUUAUUAUUGUAAUUAUAAAAUCAAGUUUAUAGAUAUAAUUUGAUAAAUUUUUUAAUAUUUAAUAUUUAAUUUAUAAUAUUUUAAAAAAAAUAGUAAACUGACUAUUUUUAAAUGUUCUAAUUUUUUAAAUUUUAUUACUAAAAUAAUAUAAAAAUUAAUUUUAAAAUAAUUAUUUUAAUUCUAAUAUUAUAUAAAUUAUCAAUAUAAUUGAUAUUACUAUUUUUUAAAAUUAUAAAUUAUUAUAUAAUUAAAAAUUAAUUUAUCAGUGAAUAUCUUAUUAUUUUUUAUAGUUAGAAUCAUUAUUUAAUAAAAAAAUUAAUUUAUUAGUUAAUAUAAUAUCAAAAUAUAAUUAAUAUGAUUUUUUUAAAAUAAUUAUUGUCUAUUUAGAAAACUAAUCAUUAUCUAAUUAGGAAACUAAUUUACUAUUAAUAUGUAAUUUUUUAGAAUUAAAAUGAGUAUUUAAUUAGGAAUCUAAUUUAUUAAUUAAUAAAUUAAUAGAAAAAACCAUAAAAUUAUACAUAAAUUUAAAUUUUAUGUGUCAAAAAUAAUUUAUAUGUCAAAAUAAAAAAUUUAAAUGUCAAAAAUUAAACGUGUCAAAAAAAUUUUAGAUUUCAGAAAUUAAUAUAUUUUUAUAUAGAUUAUUAAAAUAUAAAAUCAGAAUACAUAUAGCUUAUAAAACACACAUAUAAAACGAGAAAUAUAAUUUGGCCAACAUACAUUUUUGAACAGCAAGAAUUUUCUGAGGACAAUAUCGUAAUUACAGCUACAAGCCGUCCAACCCCGAAAGGGAAACGGGAAAUCUCCAUCGAAGAAAAUAAUUUUAUAUUUUAUAAGAAAAACAAAUGAAUUAAUCAAUUAUAAAAAAAAAGAAAAAGAAAAGAGAAAAAAGCAAAGAAACACUAACCUAAAGUAGGGUUUGUAUUUCUCUGCCCCCACCGGCCUCCCAUACUCUUCUUCUUUCUCUUCUCUUCUCUUCUCUUCUCUGUUUCUCAAACAGAAGAGAGAGAAACGCAAACCAAUCUCUCUCUCUUUCUCUCUUUCUCUCUCUAAAAACUAUCCUUUCUAUCACUACCCAUCUAUCUAUCUAUAUAUAUAUAUAUAUAUAUAUAUACAAACAUUGAAACUAUCCUAUAUCUUGAUUCAGCUUUUGUUAUUGUAAGCUGAAUCUUUGUUUUGUUUUUUUCUUUCUUCUCGUUCUCGUGCGUUUUUUGAUUGGACGGCGGAGANNNN
rnacentral:lncRNA from 1 species